rnacentral:misc_RNA from 1 species
GAUGAAGAACGUAGCGAAAUGCGAUAAGUAAUGUGAAUUGCAGAAUUCAGUGAAUCAUCGAAUCUUUGAACGCACAUUGCGCCCGCCAGUAUUCUGGCGGGCAUGCCUGUUCGAGCGUCAUUUCAACCCUCAAGCCCUGCUUGGUGUUGGGGAUCGGCGUUGCCUCCUCCGUCGUUCGCGGCGGGGUGAGGUCGCCGCCCCCGAAAUGAAUUGGCGGUCUCGUCGCAGCUUUCCUUUGCGUAGUAACAUACCACCUCGCAACCAGGAGCGCGGCGCGGCCACUGCCGUAAAACGCCCAACUUUUUCAAGAGUUGACCUCGAAUCAGGUAUGAAUACCCGCUGAACUUAAGCAUAUCAAUAAGCGGAGGA